rnacentral:rRNA from 1 species
UACGAAGGGGGCUAGCGUUGUUCGGAAUUAUUGGGCGUAAAGAGCUCGUAGGCGGUCUGUUGCGUCCGCUGUGAAAACUCGGGGCUUAACCCCGAGCCUGCAGUGGAUACGGGCAGACUAGAGGUAGGUAGGGGAGAAUGGAAUUCCCGGUGUAGCGGUGAAAUGCGUAGAUAUCGCUUGGAACGCCGAAGGUGAAAACAGGUUGCUGGGGACGCGCCGACGCUGAGACACGAAAGCCAGGGGAGCAAACGGG